UAGAGGUCGUGCAGUGAGGAGUGAUUGCUUUUUGAAAAUGAACUUGAAGUAUAUUAUAACUAGCUUAUUUUUGUUUGUGAUAUUCCAAACGGUAACCUCAGAAAAAUGCACGAAAUUUGAUGGAGAAAUUAAAGACGGAAAAUUAUUACUGAAUACGUCGGCGCUGUGUUCCUGUUACAAG